rnacentral:lncRNA from 1 species
CGCCUUCCCAAGUGAAAAGUGUGCCAAAUAAUAUCAUAAUGAGCAUACUCAGUGUCUGAAAUCAGCCUGCAGAGGUUGGAAAGCUCACUGGAUGUUUCCAAGUGCAAUCACAAAACUUAAUGGAGAUCAGAGGGCCCCUUUACUUGGAAGAAGAAUUUGAACCCCCUUGGUUUGGAAGAGCCAAAAGCUGGAAACAAUCCAAGUGUCUUUCAACGGAUGAAUGAAUAAACAAAAUGUCAUAUAAACACACAGUGGAAUAUUAUUCAGCCAUGAAAAGACUCAACAUUUCACUUUUACAAAUUUCCUCUUUGAAUCACAUCUAAUAUUUGAAGAACCAGAGAUUCAAAAUAAGGACAGAAGUGUCAAAUCAUGCUUUGAGCAGAACACAGGCAGCAAAAAGUUUUAAAGUCUGAGGAUUUAUUUCUGACCCUCCAAGUGACUUGCAAUGCAGUGGUCCAUGCUACUGUGAAAUCUCUCUGAAGAUCGCCAGUGCAAAACAUGGGUGGAUUCACAGAGUUUUGCAGGGGUAAUUCAUGUUUGUAAAUACUCCAUGACCCUUGCCUUAAAGACGGUAUUGAAGAACAAAGUACUAUUUUCAAGUGACUGCUCAUCUUGUACCCAUGAACUCCACAGGCUAAAGUAGUUUGUGUAGUUUACUUAAUGCUUCUUGUGUUUGGUUUUGCUGACCGCUAGACAUAAAAGAAAUACAGAGGGUAUAAAGAAUAUUUUUUUUAUUAAGAACUUCCUGCCCCAUAGCAAAUUUCACACUGAAUUUAAGGGCAUUCUUUUUGCUUUACAUAGUGUUUCUUGAAUCUAAGCAGAUACCUACAACCAAGCAGUUUUAUAUAUCUUUAGAUCUAGCUGUAAAUUAAGAACAAAGGUUGUUACCUUAGGGAUGUCCUCAGUAUAACUUUGGAGAGAGGUAAGGCCACCCAGGAGGUUCCUGCAUCGAUCAUGCACAGGUAAGUGUGUCUUUCUCUUGCAUUGGAAACAUGCUGAAAUGAGACGCAGGGCUGCCCUGCAGUAGCUCUGAAAGGGUGUUGCAUAUUCCUGCAUCCCAAUCUCCCUUCAAUAUGACUAUUUCAAAGGUGUCCUCAUCUGUAUAAUUUUGCAAAUUGUGAGAAAUGUGGCUGAGUGGCUUUCACAUGGCAGCUGAAGAGGAGGAGAACAUGUGUUGAAACUGUCACCAAUUUAAGCUUGUUUUUGCUUUAGGGUGUCUUACACUUUGGUGGAGAAGCGGGGGAGGGUUUUCAGCACACCCACUUCUUCAGUAGGUAUUGAAUUGCCUGCAUAAUUAC